rnacentral:rRNA from 1 species
UACGUAGGUGGCGAGCGUUGUCCGGAUUUACUGGGCGUAAAGCGCGCGCAGGCGGUUCGUUAAGUCCGGUGUGAAAGCUCCCGGCUCAACUGGGAGAGGUCAUUGGAUACUGGCGGACUUGAGGGAUGCAGAGGAAGGUGGAAUUCCCGGUGUAGUGGUGAAAUGCGUAGAGAUCGGGAGGAACACCAGUGGCGAAGGCUGCCUUCUGGGCAUUUCCUGACGCUGAGGCGCGAAAGCGUGGGGAGCGAACCGG